GCCAGCAUGGUGUAGUGGUUUGAGUGCUGGACUAUGGGUUUGGAGACCUGGGUUUGAUUCCCAGCUUGGUCA